UCCCUUGUGAUAGAAUUUUAACUGGUACC
rnacentral:piRNA from 1 species